CAUCCGACUUCCCCCCAUUUUUUUCAUUUCCCUCUCUUCUCCUGAAAAACCCUCCCUUUCGUCGACUUCCACUUCAAUCUGUCAUCACCGAUCAUCCAUAGGAAAUCUGGAUCCACCAUAGUAGAUCUGGAUCCACCAUUUUUUUUCAUUUUUUUCAUUAAUCAGAUGCUACACAGGCGUUGACCGGAUCUGGAAUUUCGGAGCUGAAAGGCUUGACUGGACUGGCGGGUGAUUCUGCGCAGGUGAAGGUCUGGACCGGAUCUGGAACAAAGGAGCGUUAAGCUCACCAGAGGAACUCGGGUUGGGUAUAGAGAACCCGAUCUUAAAGCUCACCAGAGGAACUCACAUGGAGAAUAAAAGGUUGUGUCGAAGCUCACAGGAUCUAGCGUAGCCAUAGCAGAUUUACAGAUUUACAGAUUUACUUCACGCAUAGCCUAGCAGAUUUACAAAUUUACAGAUUUACUUCACGCAUAGCCAUAGCAGAUCUGGCGUUCUUCACGCGUAGGCAUAGUAGAUCUAGUCGUCUUCUUCUACGAGAUCCACCAUCCAUUCUGUCGAAGCCCAACCGUUCGUUCCAUUGUUGAAGGUCGGAGGGAGAUUAUGGAGCAGCAAAAGUAAUGCUAAGACCUGCUUCUCCUGGUACUGGUGUGAUUGCUGGUGGAGCAGUUAGAAUUGUCUUCGAAAUGGCAGGUGUUGAGAAUGCAUUAGGGAAGCAACUUGGAAGUAACAAUGCCCUCAACAAUGCCAGGGGCAACGGUGGUCGCCGUGCAGGAGAUGAAACAGUUUAGAGACGUCACGCAGGAGCGUGGCAUCCCCAUGGAAGAGUUGUGGAAAUGAAGAGGGAAAGGGUGAGAUUUUUCUUGUCUCAUUUUUUGCUUUGACGUAUAUUAGUGCAUCAAUAUUAUUAUCCGUUUUUUUUUUUUGCUUAAAUUUAUAUGUUUAAAGUUUGAAGGGUACUGAUUAAUGGUUUUUAUUUGUAUGUUGUGCGGAUGUUUAGGAGUGAAGCUUGAGGUUUUUUUUUUCUCCUUCUUUCUGUUGGGUUUCUACCAUUGCGGAAACAAAUAUUUGACAGAGAAGUUGGGGAAUUUUAAUGGUGAACAAUGUAUUUUCACACAAAUUAUACGUGACACCAUCUCAUCGACUGCCGCCGCACGCUACACUCUCAAAUCUUGCCGUGGAAGAUUUGAGGUUACGUUAAUGAUUUGUCGUGGAAGAUAUAUAUGCCGUGGAAGAUCAUCUCAUCAAGACGAAAAUGAUCUUAGGUUAUGUUAAAUAAAUCCUUUUUGGAGACUUUUAGUAAGGGGGAAUAGUUAUAAAUAUCCCUCAAAUGUUUUCAUCUUUCACAAUUAGCAUUCUGUUAGUUGGUCUAGUUUUUCUCGGUCCUUUCCGACCGAGAUCCAUCCCUGAGGGUUAUGUCUGAUAAUUUUCCCUUUAAUAGUAUCAUCGAAAUGUGAUAAAUAGAUCUGUAUUGUUACAUGCCAAAAUUUGUUUGUAGCAUCUCUGAUUUUGAUGUUUUAUAAUUACUUAUCUAUCAUUUCCUUGUUCUAGGUAUUUGUUUUUAAAUAUUGCCGAUACAUUCUAAUUUGUUUCCAUAUGGUUUCAGGUUAGAGAUAUGUGAUCCUAAGCCAUCAAUUUUAAGUUAUUAUAAGAAUGAACAUAUAUGUAGCCGCCCUUUGGGUCUCCGGUUUGACAAGAAGACAGGCGAUUUAUAUAUUGCAGAUGCAUACUUCAGGCUGAUAAAAGUCGAACCGGAAGGAGGUCUGGCAACAUCUCUUUCAACUGAAGCAGCAGGAGUGUCAUUCAAGUUCACCAAUGAUCUAGACCUUGAUGAAGAAGGGUAUGUGUACUUCACAGAUAGCAGCACCAAAUAACACCGAAGGAACUUCUUGCAGGUAGUUUUUUCUGCUGAGAACACUGGGAGAGUUUUGAAGUAUAAUGCUACUACAGGAAAAACCACUGUUCUUGUGAGAGAUGUUCAUUUAAUUUCAGUCAUAUUGUAGGAGGCAGAGCUUGCUAAAGAGAAGACUGAUGGGUACAAGCUGGAUAGAGCUCAUAUUUUCACAGUUAACAUGUUUGAGGACUUCGAAAGAUUUAUGAAAGUCCCAGAUGAGUGGGUCCCUCUUGAAAUUAGCCCACAUACUCCUGAGGUGUUUGGAAUGGGUGGGGAGGAGAUGGAUUUCUUGCAACAGCAAGGGUUCAGGUGAAAAUUGUUCCUGAUGCAAUAAAGGAGUAAAUAUUUGGUAUCGCAACCUUUUUAUACUUUUUCUUGGGGAACUUUAAAUCCAACACAUUCACUACAAGAAUUUUGCCUUGAAUAUACCAUUUAUGCACAUUCCCAAUAAACACGUGGUCAGACAAAGAUGCCUAUA